GGAGUUAGCCGGUGCUUAUUCAUAUAGUACCGUCAUUAUCUUCCUAUAUAAAAAGAAGUUUACACACCGAAAUGCGUCAUCCUCCACGCGGCGUUGCUGCAUCAGAGUUUCCUCCAUUGUGCAAUAUUCCCCA
rnacentral:rRNA from 1 species